rnacentral:rRNA from 1 species
GUUUGAUCUUGGUUCAGGACGAACGCUGGCGGCGUGCCUAAUACAUGCAAGUCGAGCGGACAGAUGGGAGCUUGCUCCCUGAUGUUAGCGGCGGACGGGUGAGUAACACGUGGGUAACCUGCCUGUAAGACUGGGAUAACUCCGGGAAACCGGGGCUAAUACCGGAUGGUUGUUUGAACCGCAUGGUUCAGACAUAAAAGGUGGCUUCGGCUACCACUUACAGAUGGACCCGCGGCGCAUUAGCUAGUUGGUGAGGUAACGGCUCACCAAGGCGACGAUGCGUAGCCGACCUGAGAGGGUGAUCGGCCACACUGGGACUGAGACACGGCCCAGACUCCUACGGGAGGCAGCAGUAGGGAAUCUUCCGCAAUGGACGAAAGUCUGACGGAGCAACGCCGCGUGAGUGAUGAAGGUUUUCGGAUCGUAAAGCUCUGUUGUUAGGGAAGAACAAGUGCCGUUCAAAUAGGGCGGCACCUUGACGGUACCU